UCGAGGGGCAGCAUGAACUUAGCUUGCUAAGUUUGAUGGCGACCGGCGCACGGGCUGAGUAACACGAUAUCCAACCUGCCGAUGACUCGGGGAUAGCCUUUCGAAAGAAAGAUUAAUACCCGAUGGCAUAGUUCUUCCGCAUGGCUAGAACUAUUAAAGAAUUUCGGUCAUCGAUGGGGAUGCGUUCCAUUAGGUUGUUGGCGGGGUAACGGCCCACCAAGCCUUCGAUGGAUAGGGGUUCUGAGAGGAAGGUCCCCCACAUUGGAACUGAGACACGGUCCAAACUCAUACGGGAGGCAGCAGUGAGGAAUAUUGGUCAAUGGACGAGAGUCUGAACCAGCCAAGUAGCGUGAAGGAUGACUGCCCUAUGGGUUGUAAACUUCUUUUAUACGGGAAUAAAGUGAGGCACGUGUGCCUUUUUGUAUGUACCGUAUGAAUAAGGAUCGGCUAACUCCGUGCCAGCAGCCGCGGUAAUACGGAGGAUCCGAGCGUUAUCCGGAUUUANUUGGGUUUAAAGGGGAGCGUAGGCGGACGCUUAAGUCAGUUGUGAAAGUUUGCGGCUCAACCGUAAAAUUGCAGUUGAUACUGGGUGUCUUGAGUACAGUAGAGGCAGGCGGAAUUCGUGGUGUAGCGGUGAAAUGCUUAGAUAUCACGAAGAACUCCGAUUGCGAAGGCAGCUUGCUGGACUGUAACUGACGCUGAUGCUCGAAAGUGUGGGUAUCAAACAGGAUUAGAUACCCUGGUAGUCCACACAGUAAACGAUGAAUACUCGCUGUUUGCGAUAUACAGUAAGCGGCCAAGCGAAAGCGUUAAGUAUUCCACCUGGGGAGUACGCCGGCAACGGUGAAACUCAAAGGAAUUGACGGGGGCCCGCACAAGCGGAGGAACAUGUGGUUUAAUUCGAUGAUACGCGAGGAACCUUACCCGGGCUUGAAUUGCAACUGAAUGAUGUGGAGACAUGUCAGCCGCAAGGCAGUUGUGAAGGUGCUGCAUGGUUGUCGUCAGCUCGUGCCGUGAGGUGUCGGCUUAAGUGCCAUAACGAGCGCAACCCUUAUCGAUAGUUACCAUCAGGUUAUGCUGGGGACUCUGUCGAGACUGCCGUCGUAAGAUGUGAGGAAGGUGGGGAUGACGUCAAAUCAGCACGGCCCUUACGUCCGGGGCUACACACGUGUUACAAUGGGGGGUACAGAAGGCAGCUACACGGCGACGUGAUGCUAAUCCCUAAAGCCUCUCUCAGUUCGGAUUGGAGUCUGCAACCCGACUCCAUGAAGCUGGAUUCGCUAGUAAUCGCGCAUCAGCCACGGCGCGGUGAAUACGUUCCCGGGCCUUGUACACACCGCCCGUCAAGCCAUGAAAGCCGGGGGUACCUGAAGUGCGUAACCGCAAGAG
rnacentral:rRNA from 1 species